UAUGGCUUAUCAUGAACUCUAUUCAAAUCCUCGUGAAGACCAUCCAAAAGAAAAGCCAGAAGCUCCUGUGAGUCUUGCUGUUGAAAGCCAUUAAACCUUGGAGCAUAUUUUGCUAUUGUCCACCGCAACUUCAGUGGUGCUAUAUUCUUCUGAGUCCCACUCCACAACUCCUGAACUAAAUCCCCAUAGCACUUGGCCAUGUGUCCUUUCAUUCCUAUUGGAUUUGUCCUGUUAAGUUCAUAAAGGUGUCUUCCUGAGAUGAAAUACCGUGUCAGAGGUUGCGUAUUACUGACACACUGGAUACUAGAGUUCAUGAAACAUGUGUUACCCAGAUUGCUUAAUCCAGUAGCACCCUUCUCAGUAGGAACUUUAUGUCUGUCUAUUUUACUGCUGUUUGCUAUAAAAGACAUCUCUUCAGGCCAG
rnacentral:lncRNA from 1 species